AGUCCAUGAUGUGGGCAUCUUUUAAGAAAUUUCUUGAAUUUUUCUCAUGCUUCAUUUAAUGAUUAAUUAUCCAUCUACAUAAAAUUAGUAAUAUCAUUACGCAUCUU
rfam:Eucalyptus grandis cultivar BRASTZ1 unplaced genomic scaffold scaffold_3, whole genome shotgun sequence.